rnacentral:rRNA from 1 species
GACGAACGCUGGCGGCGUGCUUAACACAUGCAAGUCGAACGGAAAGGCCCUGCUUUUGUGGGGUGCUCGAGUGGCGAACGGGUGAGUAACACGUGAGUAACCUGCCCUUGACUUUGGGAUAACUUCAGGAAACUGGGGCUAAUACCGGAUAGGAGCUCCUGCUGCAUGGUGGGGGUUGGAAAGUUUCGGCGGUUGGGGAUGGACUCGCGGCCUAUCAGCUUGUUGGUGGGGUAGUGGCUUACCAAGGCUUUGACGGGUAGCCGGCCUGAGAGGGUGACCGGCCAAAGUAGGACUGAGCUACGGCCGGGAGUCGUACGGGAGGCAGGAGUGGGGGAUGUUGCACAAUGGGCGGAAGCCGGAUGCAGCAACGCCGCGUGCGGGAUGACGGCCUGCGGGUUGUAAACCGCUUUCGCAUGUGACGAUGCGUGAGUGACGGUAAUGGGUAAAGAAGCACCGGCUAACUACGUG